CAAASGACUYUCGGCAACGGAUAUYUCGGCUCAUGCAUCGAUGAAGAACGUAGCGAAAUGCGAUACUUGGUGUGAAUUGCAGAAUCCCGUGAACCAUCGAGUCUUUGAACGCAAGUUGCGCCCGAAGCCAUUSGGCCRAGGGCACKUCUGCCUGGGCGUCACGC
rnacentral:rRNA from 1 species